AACGCUAGCUACAGGCUUAACACAUGCAAGUCGAGGGGAAACGACAUCGAAAGCUUGCUUUUGAUGGGCGUCGACCGGCGCACGGGUGAGUAACGCGUAUCCAACCUGCCCACCACUUGGGGAUAACCUUGCGAAAGUAAGACUAAUACCCAAUGACGUCUCUAGAAGACAUCUGAAAGAGAUUAAAGAUUUAUCGGUGAUGGAUGGGGAUGCGUCUGAUUAGCUUGUUGGCGGGGUAACGGCCCACCAAGGCAACGAUCAGUAGGGGUUCUGAGAGGAAGGUCCCCCACAUUGGAACUGAGACACGGUCCAAACUCCUACGGGAGGCAGCAGUGAGGAAUAUUGGUCAAUGGACGAGAGUCUGAACCAGCCAAGUAGCGUGAAGGAUGAAGGUCCUACGGAUUGUAAACUUCUUUUAUAAGGGAAUAAAUCCUCCCACGUGUGGGAGCUUGUAUAUACCUUAUGAAUAAGCAUCGGCUAACUCCGUGCCAGCAGCCGCGGUAAUACGGAGGAUGCGAGCGUUAUCCGGAUUUAUUGGGUUUAAAGGGAGCGCAGACGGGUCGUUAAGUCAGCUGUGAAAGUUUGGGGCUCAACCUUAAAAUUGCAGUUGAUACUGGCGUCCUUGAGUGCGGUUGANGUGUGCGGAAUUCNCGGUGUANCGGUGAAAUGCUUANAUUUCACGAAGAACUCCGAUUG
rnacentral:rRNA from 1 species